ACCCUCAGGUUCCUUACCCAUCAGCCCUAAACACCGGGCUGAGUGGUUAUGAAAGGAGGGACAGCCAAAUGGAAACCGACUGAAAUCCUUUUGUGACACACAAGUUAGUUUCAAACAAAC
rnacentral:snoRNA from 1 species